rnacentral:rRNA from 1 species
AAAGGAAUUGACGGGGACCCGCACAAGCAGUGGAGUAUGUGGUUUAAUUCGAAGCAACGCGAAGAACCUUACCAGGUCUUGACAUCCCUCGAAUAACAUAGAAACAUGUUAGUCCUUCGGGACGAGGAGACAGGUGGUGCAUGGUUGUCGUCAGCUCGUGUCGUGAGAUGUUGGGUUAAGUCCCGCAACGAGCGCAACCCUUGCUGCCAGUUGCCAGCACGUAAAGGUGGGCACUUUGGUGGGACUGCCGGUGAUAAAUCGGAGGAAGGUGGGGAUGACGUCAAAUCAUCAUGCCCUUUAUGAUCUGGGCUACACACGUACUACAAUGGCCGUGACAACGGGAAGCUAAGCGGUAACGUGGAGCAAAUCCCCAAAAACGGUCCCAGUUCGGAUUGUGGGCUGCAAUUCGCCCAUAUGAAGUCGGAAUUGCUAGUAAUUGCAGGUCAGCAUACUGCAGUGAAUACGUUCCCGGGUCUUGUACACACCGCCCGU